rnacentral:rRNA from 1 species
UACGUAGGCAGCGAGCGUUGUUCGGAAUUACUGGGCGUAAAGAGUGUGUAGGCGGUGCUCUAAGUUUGGUGUGAAAUCUCCCGGCUCAACUGGGAGGGUGCGCCGAAAACUGGAGUGCUCGAGUAUGGGAGAGGUAAGCGGAAUUCCUGGUGUAGCGGUGAAAUGCGUAGAUAUCAGGAGGAACACCUGCGGUGUAGACGGCUUACUGGACCAUGACUGACGCUGAGGCACGAAAGCGUGGGGAGCAAACAGG